CCCUGAAUGUUGGGGAGUUGUGUUUGGGUCACGGAGGCAUUGCAAGUGGUAAUGCACGUGCAUCCAGAUCUUGUUAGGCAAUGUGGCUGCAUGUAUUAGUUUGGGUGUAGGAUUCCUGUGUUGUGAAUGUUUGGGAAUGUGUUGUUGGGGCUCAUUCGCAUGUUCUUAAGGCACAUUGAAUGGCCAUGUAUGUUUCUUGUAUUGAUUUUCAGAUGUGCGUCUACAUAUAUUAGUAUUGAAGGGUAGCUGUAUGGCAUUUAGUGGUGUAUUAGUUAGGGUUCUCUAGGGAAAGAGAAUCAGUGAGAGGGAUCUAUGACUAUAAAAUUUAUAAAAGUGACUCAUGCAACUCUGAGUAACUGAGAACACUCAGGGCACAUUGAAUGGCCAUGUAAGUUUCUUGUAUUGAUUUUCAGAUGUGUGUCUACAUAUAUUGGUAUUGAAGGGUAGCUGUAUGAGUUUUAGUGGGUUGGUAGGGUGUCCUAUAUGUUCAGAUUGUAGGAUUCUGUGGCAUUUGCUCUGUGUGAUUCUUUAUGCGCACAGAUAUGUGAUGUGGGACCAGAUAAGUAUUGGUGAUUAUAUUUGCCUACUUUGUGUGUUGUGUAUUUGAGUAUAUUCGAGGCAGGUGGAAGUUGAAUUUGAAUUUCAUUGAUGUAUGUAUUUAUGGUGCAUGGGAGUUUGCACAUUUUCUAGGACUAUGUGUUUGCAUUUUGUAGUCGGAAGUCGUUAGCGUGCAUUCUGGGAGCCGAGUAUUUGAUGGAAGUUUGGGUUGUGUGUUUCCAGUGAUGUGGGAUAAUUUCAUUUGUAUGUAAUGGAAGCAUGUGAUACAAUUACCUUGGAGUAUCUGGGGUUGUGGUAAUUUGUCGGUGUAUGAACUGGGCCUUGGCAGAGAUUUCCUCUGUCCUCAUCUCUGGCAGACUGGAGAUGUUUCUUUGUGUCUAUGUAGUGUAUACUAGUUUGUGUGCACUCUAGAACCAGGCAGUUGUGUGCAGGUUCACGGUAGAGUGGUGGAUGAGAUAACUCUUCACUUGAAAGUGUGACAGGGACUGUGUUUGUGUGGAGGUUUUCUGUGUAUAUGUCAGAGAAGUAUUUUGGCCAUACAUGGUGGUAAACGGGCAUUAUGUGUGGAAGUUUUGUAUGGUUCUAGGUGUGUGUAUACAAAUUUGAGUGUGUGUAGCAUUUCCCCUUAGAUAGGAAGAAGUGACUGGAGUAUGUAUAAGUUGUGUGGGUCUGUUUUCCAGAUAUAGAAGGGGCUGUGCCUGUUCUUGUGAUUUAUAGCAUGGUUUUGCUGAUAUGUUUUGGGCGAAAGUAGAAGGUUCAUACUCAGUGUGCAGGUGUAUUCUAGGCACAUAUUUUUGUAAAAGGGGUUUAGAUUCACUAAAGCUGGAUGGAACGAACUUGGGACAGUUCUUGGUGCAUAUCUCCUCCCACGGCCGGGGCUCCAGGUGAGGGCAGAGAAGGCUGGCAUGCGGGGUGCUAUGGAAGCCUGAGGUACAGUCUUUGGAAGUGGAUCCCAGAGCCUGGUUCAGUGUGGUGGGGAGGGGUCACGGAAUCGUUUCAUAUAGGUGGGUUUUUUUUUCUCCCUGAGUGUUGGCGACUUGUGUGUGCAUCACCUCCGGCUUACUCACGAUAAGUGCAAGUACAAGCAUGUCAUGUUACGGAGUGUGCACGGUCGAUGGCAGUAGCACUGUGAGCUCUGUGUGCAGAGAGGGUGGGUCAGUGGGUGUCGCUGGUGGCAUUAGCCAUCUCGGCGCUGGCCAAGGCAUCAGAAGAAGAAUCCCCAAGGCCAGCGUUUGAGUUGGGCCUCAAUAAUGCUGGGAGCUGCUCCCUGUCUCCUGGGAGAGAUCUCCAUGGAGACCGCCCCACCCACAGAAGUGGAAUUGUGAGGAGGCAGCAUUGUCCUCUGGGAGAGAUCUCCAUGGAGACCGCCCCACCCACAGAGGUGGUAUCCGCAGGAGGCUGCAGUACUGGAGCCACCUCUUGGCUUUCGGUUGCUGGCACCAUUGCCCACUUCCCUAGCGGGCACUGUUGCUCCACUCUUCUUCCUAACCUCAUGGUCCCUGUUGUACCUGUGCCCCCCAGCUUGGGCGGUGUUGAAAGACAUCGGGCUGGGCCAGGGCCGGGGUGGGGCUCUGCGGCCUUUGCCUCUGCCUCUCCCACCCUUCUUAUCCGUCCCGGAGCUGGAAGCGGGGCAGCCUCUGCCAUGGCCUCUGGAUCCCCACGCACAGGGGGCAGCGGAAAGAUCCGGACACGGCGUUGCCACCCCGGUCCCGUGACGCCUUACUCGCAGGGGCGACGGCGCCAGCUGGGCAUUCUUAGCAGGGUUACAGAAUAUGUUCAGAAUAACGUGCCAGCAUGGCUACAGAGAUAUUUCAAGAAGAAUGAAGAUGUAUGCAGCCACACAACAGACUCAGAGGAGACUCCAUGUUCGCAAGAAAAUAGGGAAGAUGACGAGAUAGUGUGUGCCGGUGAGGAGAGCUCUAAUAUUAAUGAUGGGAGGAUCACUAGUGAGCCAACAGUCGGUAAUACAGAAGACGCCUCAACAACCAGCCCUGCUUCAAAUUAUGCAGGUGAAUUAAACAGGCCAUCUCUUAGUCAGAGCUGCUCGAAUUUCUCCAUGUUGGAAUCCCAUGUUUCAAAUUGUGAGCCGUCCACAUCAUCAGCAUUCCCAACUGGCAGUCCUGGCUUUUCCCUUGUGAAGGAAAUUAUAGACUCUACCUCUCAGCAUGGUGCUGGUAACACGUCCACUAGCCAUCAUUUUGAAUUUUCAUCAACAGUUUCCGAUAAAGCUAUGGCUGCUCCAAAGAAGACUUCAGUGCCACCUCUGUGGUCUCCAGAGGCUGAACGGUCUCAUUCACUCUCACAGCACACUGCCACCAGGCCAAAAAAACCAGCGUUCAGCUUGUCUGCAUUUGGGACACUUUCCCCUUCAUUUGAGAAAUCUUUGAUCUUUCAAACAAGUCAGCAUGGAGAUCCUCCUUGUUAUCCUAGAAAAACAACGUAUGGUGGGGCAGCAGCUGCUGUAAGACAUUCUAAACUAGCAACGACCCCUUGUCAGGCACCAGUAAGAAGACAGAUGAAAGCUAAGCAACUCAAUGCACAGUCCUGUGGUGUGACUAGUUUAGCAGCUCGGCGAAUAUUACAAUCUUUAGAGAAGCUAUCAAGACCUCUAGCAGAUGUUCUGUCUUUUCCUGUGUGUUCUCCUCUUGAUAGGAGUCGGAUAGAUAACACAGAUUUGGGGGCCAAAAGAGAUAAGGUGGAUUCUCAGUAUCCUGUUCAAAAACUCAUGUCUCCAAAGCAAGUUUCCAGAGCAACAAAUCAAAGUGUUUAUUUUAAACCGUCUCUGACCCCAUCUCAUGAAUUGAGGAAGGCUGAUCAAAGAAUAGUUAAACAGCACAGUACUCAUUAUGAAAACAAUGUGACACCAGGACAAAACAGAGAACAAGAAAGUGGCUUUCCGCAUCAAAAUUUGCGUUUCCCUGCCCCCGAUGGAUUAUCUUCUGGAGCAGGUAGUAGAGGUGGCAAAGUCAGACGGGAGAGAACACACUUCCUGACAUCUGAACCACCAGUGGAGGAGGAAAUGCAAGCACUAGUAUUAUCAAAGAUCUCUCUACCGAUCACCAAUUCUUCACUCCCUUCCUUCAGCUUUCAUUGUCCUUUGAUGACAACUUCCUCUCCAGCUCCCAUGAGUCCUUCACAAUCAGUAACAGAUAAGGUACAAAUGAUUUCUCUGAGCAGCACUGGCAGACCCGUGUUUAGAUUUUCUUCUUCCACUGUAAAGUCUACUGAGGCAGGUGCACUGCCGUCAUCAUCUGCUGAAUUUACAUUUAGUAUGCCUGUUGCAAAAGCAGAACUUGCAGACACCAGUAGUACUUCAGAACCUAUGAUAAGUGCUUCAGCUCAAGAUAUCACUGCAGUGACUAGUAGAAGCCAUAAGAGGAAGCUAGAUGAAGAUGACGAGGGCCCUUCUAGACCUGCAAAAACCUGGAAAGGAGGAAGAGUCCUUGAUGUUCUGAAAAACCCUGGUUUCCUAUCACCAAAGGUAGAUGCUUUUGCUGCUCAGCCGACCACGACCAGCCCGGCAGUUUAUACAGGACCAGCCGUAUGUAGGUUUUCCUCUAGUGAAACUGGACUUGGGGAAAGUUUAAAAGCUGGAUCAUCGUGGCGCUGUGACACAUGUCUGCUCCCAAACAAAGUAACUGAUGACAAGUGCGUGGCCUGUCAAGCCGCCAAGUUGCCACCGAGAGGUUCUGUUGAACAAACAGCAGUUGGGACAGCAAGAAAAAGUGGGAAACCAACCAUUUCUGCGUCAGGGGCAGGCUUUGGGGACAAACUUAAACCAGAAUUCAGAACUUGGGAGUGUGAUGCAUGUUUAGUGCAAAAUAAACCUGAAGCAAGAAAAUGUAUAGCUUGUGAAACAGCCAAACCUGGAACUGGUGUCAACCGGUUCCUUCCACUGCCAGUGGUUUCAGAAAGUGACAUAACUCUGCCGGCUUCAUCUUCUAGCUGCACUGUGACCACUGGUACCUUAGGAUGUGCAGAUGAGUUGAAAACACCGAGAGGAUCUUGGGAGUGUCCAAUAUGCAGUGUUUCUAAUAAUGCAGAAGACAAUAAAUGCAUGUCCUGUAUGUCCAAGAAAACAGAGAGCUCAGUACCUGCUUCAAGUAGCAGCACUGCAUCUGUCGCUCUUUCUUCUGCAGAUACUCUAGGAUUGGAGAAGUUGAAUCCCGAGGGAAGCUGGGACUGUGAAGUAUGCCUAGUACAGAAUAGAGCAGAUUCUGCCAAAUGUGCAGCAUGCAAAAGUGCCAAGCCAGGCACAACAGACACAAAAUCUGAGUUUAAAGGCAUUGUCAGCUGUUCUUCACGUUCAAACCCAGCAGCCUCAUGUUUCAAAUUGGGAAACCCAUCACCCGCUUCUGGGCCUUCUCCGACUUCAACAAGUACUGGAGACUUUCAGUUUCGAGAUCAGGGAGGCUUCAAAACCAGCAUGUCUUCAGAGUCUGGAUCCACAGACGCCAUGAACAGAAGUUUUCAAUUUGACAAAUCCACCGAGAUACCUCGUAAAGUUGCCUCUGAAGUUAUUAGCUUUGGCACAAGUGUUAUUAAUCAUAAUCCAGCUGCUGCUACUACUGCAGCGACCUCUCAGAACGGCGUCAGUUGUAGAACAGUAGAAACCAAAAUUGUUUCAAUGGCUCCAGUCACAUGUCAGACAUCAGAUGUAGAGAGGAAGGAAUUGCCUCCAGCCGGAGGAGGGUCCGCUUCUGGCAAUAUGGGAUCUGCCUCUGUGCCACCUGCCUCAGCGUUCACUUUGGGAGGGACAGGGGAGAAACAGCAACAGCACGGCACUUCUGCUGCUCCUGCGUAUGGGACAAAAACUGAUAACGAAGACAGAAAGUGGAAGGCACGCUUUCCCUUCGGCUGUUCAAAGCGAAGGAGAGAGGAGAGUUCAAAGCGAAGGAGAGAGGAGAGUUGUUCAAAGCGAAGGAAAGCGGAGAGUUGUUCACAGUUGGCAUUUGGUUUCAAUAUGAGGAAACCAUCUGAGAAGGCAUCUGAGCAGCCAGGAAAGGCCACUUUUGCUUCUGGAGCUCAAACCAAUACUGCAGCUGAUCAAGGAACAGCAAAGGCAGUUUUCAGUUUCCUGAACAACAGUUCCUAUGGUUCAAGGACAUUAGCCACUUUAGCAGGUGGUGGCAUAUUUGCUAAUUCCACCCCUUCCUCCAACCUGCCUGUGGCCGCUGGUGCACUUGGACAGGCCAGCAAUCCCGUCAUCAGUCCUGCCCUUGGUAACUUUGCUGGACCCAGCUCAUCUCAGUCUUUGCAAUUUUCUCAGCAAAAUAGCACUGGUACAGCUGUCGCCCCAAUUGUCUCAGGUCCAGGAGCCGUGAGUAAUAAUACUUCAACGUCUGGUUUCAGUUCUCAAGCUACAACCUCAUCUAGCUCUGGAGGAUCCUUUGUAUUUGGCACUGGACCUUCAACACCAUCUGCCGGUCCAGCGUUUGGUGCUAACCAGACCCCAACAUUUGGACAAAACCAUCGUGCCAGCCAGCCUUAUGCCACAGCAUUAUUCGCUACUGGUUCCCAGCCUGCACCACCACCUAUUUUUGGUGCGGCAUCAAGUGGUAACCAGCCUGCUGUGUUUGGACAGCAGCCUAGUCAGAGGGCAUUGGGCUCUGGAGCAACUCCUAAUUCCAGCCAAAUGGAUGAACUAUGUUCUCUUUUUCAGCAAGUUCAUUUUGUGGACUCACAAAAAAAGACUGCUGUUAAACGCAAGAAAUAAUAGUCUCAAUGCUGAUAUACACAACAGUUUUUUUUUUCUUUCAUUGUAUUUCUUUAAUAAAAAUGUACAGUAGAAUAGUUCUAUUAUAUUAAUACAUUCAGAACAAUUCUUCCUUUUCCUUAAUUUUCAGCAUGCUUUACAGUUAAAUAUGAUCAGAGUACUUUGCUUGUUUCUUAAACAUAAAUAGUACCAUCAUUCAAAAUAAAACCCAUAUGUUAAAAACAUUUAUUUCUUUCACCAUCAAACAUCAGAGAUGACUCUAAAUUAUGUAUAAAAACUUUUCUGUAGUAAAUUAUUUUUUAUCUUAGAAAAUUAAGUAGUUUUUAAACUUAUAUACAUAUUAGUUUUUAAUCAUAUAAGUAGCAGUAAAAAAUUGCAGUUAGCCUAUAAUAUAAAUAUUUUUUCCUUUGUGUUUAAUAGAUAUUUUGUGUUUUAACAGGUAUCCAGCAUCCGCAGCCUUCCAGUGAUUCACUGCUCUUGGAAGUAGUAAAAUAAGUAAAAGUUAGUGAAAUGGAGGAGGAUAAAUUUGACCUUUCUGAAGAGGACAUGAUAGCUAGAGUAAAUAUAAAAGAGCAAGUUAUUACCCUGUGUGAAAACAUCAACCUCGUGGAGUUGAGACUCAUUCAGCCGUAUGAACAUGUUAUAACAAACUGUAUCUGUGAGAUCAAACUUCAGAGCCUGGAAAUGGAAAACCUGGCCAUUGCCGUGAAGAGGCCAGUAAUUAGAUGUGAAACAAUUUGGAGACAUUUUCAAAAAAAUCCUGCAUCGAGCUAAUUGAACCAUACAGGAAAUGGUCUGUCCCGAGAGCAAGAAGAUAAGGCUGUCAUAGUUGACCCUUUGAAGUCACUGAAGGGAAUUAAAGUGGAGAAGGGAAAACGUAGGCAUAAACUCCUCAUGGGGGUUUCUUCUGAACGUUUUCAGUUCCUGACCUUAGAUUUGCCUUCUAGGGGUCUGCAUUAGGGUAAUAAAGGGUGGUCUUCUGAUCUCCAAAUGUUGGAGAAAAUUCUGGAGUAAGGACCAGAGCCCUGGAGAUGGCUUCCUUUGAGGGGUGACUGGCAGGCAGACACGUGGAUUCUUCAGAUUGUCCAGUGACUAUCUGUUAAAACACACACAGGUACACACAGACCCACACAAAGGUAUGUGGACACACACACUCACACAGCUUCUAAGGACAGUUCAUGUAAACCCAGAGGGAAUAAGGGAGCAGUGUCCUUUAUGUUGUCAUCACUACCUCUCUCCCCAUGGAUUAGCACGUCACUUUAGGAUGAGCUCUGCUGGUGUCCUCUCCCUGAACGCCUUCUCCUUUCAAAGCCUGUGCUCUCUGGCUGGGAUCUGGAGCCUGGCUCCAUUCUGAGCCAGCAGUUUCUAUUUACCCCUCUCCUCCCAGCUGUCCAAGACCGCACUUCCGUGUUCAAAUGAUGACCUGUGAUCAUUCCCUUACGUUCUUAGCCAAGGACCAUCCUCAGCUCCGUGUUUGGUUAGGAGAUGGUGGAAGAGCCGCUUCUACCUUUUCUUUGUUUGGGGGGCCCUGGGCCAGGUGAUGGUGUACAGUUCCAACAUGCCAAGAAUUAGGAAUGGCCAGGGCAAAUGCUCUUCAUGGGCUCCCUGAUUUACAACCAAAACAAAACAAACACACAAAAAACAGAAAGGAGUUGCUCAGAAAUGAGAAUGGCAGGGAGAACACAUUCAGGAGAGGUCCCAGAUAUUUUGGGGACUGUAUGUUUAGAAGGAGUGGCUUGAAAAAGUGGUCAUAACAAACAAGAAGGGGCUUCUGGCUUAGCUUUUUACUGUCCCAGAUUUGACCAAAGAAAUUGCUGUGGAGAUACGUAAUUCCCAUAGCAGGUACUUAAAAACAGAAACAAGCUAUCUUUGCAAACAUGGUUAACAACAUGGAGAAGUCUGUGUGUGGAGGGAAAAUAAACAGGAGUAGAAAACAGUGAGAAGCUAUUCAAAAAUUUACUUUGGGGUCUUCCCCACUUCCCAGCACUUGUUUCGAGUUUUGUGUAGAAAUUAAACUAAUACAUGAACAAAUUGUGUUGUGAGGGAGCAGAUAAGUUAAAAGCAGGUUGGGUGGUGUAGCAGAAUCUCCUCAAACAGGCAGAUGGGAGCGUGUUUUUAUAUUUAAGCUCUGCUCUCUACCUUUUAUUAAUAAAGUCAUUGGUCCAGGUGAAUUGGCUCUCGAGAACUCAUGGUUUCUGCUUUCAUGUAGCUUAUAAUCUAUUUGGAUGGGCAAGGCAUAUGCAUAUGCCAAGCUAAAUAAUUAGAUAUGGAGCUGAAAGAAAACAAUUCUUUUUUUUUUCUUUUUUAGGGUUUAAUCUGAAACCCCAAAUGCUGUAAUGUGACACACAUCUCCAUACUUGAGAAUUGCAGAAUGAAAUUAUCCUUCAACCCUUCUUACCUAAAUAUUUCCAUUUCUAACUUUCUAGCAAAUCAGAAUGCUCUGUCUCUAUAGAGAUAGAGAUUUAAUUCAGUUAAUAAAAGAAACAGAAGUUUUCUAGAAGGCAACCUUAUCUAUAA